CCUGGCCAGUGCUCAGGGCCAGUCCCCACCCCGACGUGCGUUGCCGGUAACGGCUCGGUGCGGAGCUCGGGGGAGAAGCCCAAGGGC
rfam:Streptomyces sp. WAC00263 NODE_2696_length_622_cov_3.210611, whole genome shotgun sequence.